AACUGAUACUACCUGCGGGAACCUGCGGAAGGAUCAUUACAAAUCCAAACAAUUACACGUUAAAAUGUUCUCGACCUUGGAAAGGUAUACGCGUUGCUCGAAUUCGCGCAACGUCAUAGCUGGCUAGUUCGUAGCAUGCCUCUACGUCACGUGGAGCUUGUUGCGCUUGCCGCCAAGGUUCGAACUUAUUAACUUUAAACAUUUGACAAAUCACAUUUAAAACAAAAAAAACAACUUUUA
rnacentral:misc_RNA from 1 species